rnacentral:rRNA from 1 species
GAGCACUGUUUCGGCAAGGGGGUCAUCCCGACUUACCAACCCGAUGCAAACUGCGAAUACCGGAGAAUGUUAUCACGGGAGACACACGGCGGGUGCUAACGUCCGUCGUGAAGAGGGAAACAACCCAGACCGCCAGCUAAGGUCCCAAAGUCAUGGUUAAGUGGGAAACGAUGUGGGAAGGCCCAGACAGCCAGGAUGUUGGCUUAGAAGCAGCCAUCAUUUAAAGAAAGCGUAAUAGCUCACUGGUCGAGUCGGCCUGCGCGGAAGAUGUAACGGGGCUAAACCAUGCAC